rnacentral:rRNA from 1 species
UAAAGCGUGCGCAGGCGGUUUUGUAAGACUGUCGUGAAAUCCCCGGGCUCAACCUGGGAAUGGCGAUGGUGACUGCAAGGCUAGAGUUUGGCAGAGGGGGGUAGAAUUCCACGUGUAGCAGUGAAAUGCGUAGAUAUGUGGAGGAACACCGAUGGCGAAGGCAGCCCCCUGGGUCAAAACUGACGCUCAUGCACGAAAGCGUGGGGAGCAAACAGGAUUAGAACCCCAGU